AACGUAGGUGGCAAGCGUUGUUCGGAGUUACUGGGCGUAAAGCGUGCGCGAGGCGGUUCGUUGUGUCGGCGGUGAAAUCCCCGGCUCAACCUGGGAAUGGCCGUUGAAACUGGCGAACUGGAGUGUGGCAGGAGGGGGGUGGAAUUCCGCGUGUAGCAGUGAAAUGCGUAGAGAUGCGGAGGAACACCGAUGGCGAAGGCAGCCCCCUGGGCUGACACUGACGCUCAGGCACGAAAGCGUGG
rnacentral:rRNA from 1 species